AACAUUUCUAGCUUGCUAGAAGAGACGAGCGGCGGACGGGUGAGUAAUGCUUGGGAACAUGCCUUGAGGUGGGGGACAACCAUUGGAAACGAUGGCUAAUACCGCAUAAUGUCUACGGACCAAAGGGGGCUUCGGCUCUCGCCUUUAGAUUGGCCCAAGUGGGAUUAGCUAGUUGGUGAGGUAAAGGCUCACCAAGGCGACGAUCCCUAGCUGGUUUGAGAGGAUGAUCAGCCACACUGGAACUGAGACACGGUCCAGACUCCUACGGGAGGCAGCAGUGGGGAAUAUUGCACAAUGGGCGCAAGCCUGAUGCAGCCAUGCCGCGUGUGUGAAGAAGGCCUUCGGGUUGUAAAGCACUUUCAGUCAGGAGGAAAGGUUAGCAGUAAUACCUGCUAGCUGUGACGUUCUGACAGAAGAAGCACCGGCUAACUCGUGCCACAGCCGCGGUAAUACGGAGGGUGNGAGCGUAAUCGGAAUAC
rnacentral:rRNA from 1 species